rnacentral:rRNA from 1 species
UACGAAGGGGGCUAGCGUUGCUCGGAAUUACUGGGCGUAAAGGGAGCGUAGGCGGAUAGUUUAGUCAGAGGUGAAAGCCCAGGGCUCAACCUUGGAAUUGCCUUUGAUACUGGCUAUCUUGAGUAUGGGAGAGGUAUGCGGAACUCCGAGUGUAGAGGUGAAAUUCGUAGAUAUUCGGAAGAACACCAGUGGCGAAGGCGGCAUACUGGCCCAUUACUGACGCUGAGGCUCGAAAGCGUGGGGAGCAAACAGG